GUAACGCGUGGGUAACCGUGCCUCACACUGGGGGAGUAACAAGUUAGAAAUAAGCUGCUAAUACCGCAUAAGCGCACAGCUCCGCAUGGAGCGGUGUGAAAAACUCCGGUGGUGUGAGAUGGACCCGCGUCUGAUUAGCCAGUUGGCGGGGUAACGGCCCACCAAAGCGACGAUCAGUAGCCGGCCUGAGAGGGUGAACGGCCACAUUGGGACUGAGACACGGCCCAAACUCCUACGGGAGGCAGCAUG
rnacentral:rRNA from 1 species